rnacentral:rRNA from 1 species
CCUACGGGAGGCAGCAGUGAGGAAUAUUGGUCAAUGGACGCAAGUCUGAACCAGCCAAGCCGCGUGCAGGAAGACGGCCCUAUGAGUUGUAAACUGCUUUUGUACGGGGGUAAACGCAGAUACGCGUGUCUGUCUGGAAGUAUCGUACGAAUAAGGAUCGGCUAACUCCGUGCCAGCAGCCGCGGUAAUACGGAGGAUUCAAGCGUUAUCCGGAUUUAUUGGGGUUAAAGGGUGCGUAGGCGGUAGUAUAAGUUAGAGGUGAAAUCGUGAGGCGUAACUUCGGAAUUGCCUUUGAUACUGGGCGUCUAGAGAGUAGUUGAGGUAGGCGGAAUGUAUGGUGUAGCGGUGAAAUGCUUAGAGAUCAUACAGAACACCGAUUGCGAAGGCAGCUUACCAAGCUACGUCUGACGUUGAGGCACGAAAGCGUGGGGAGCAAACAGGAUUAGAUACCCGUGUAGUC